rnacentral:rRNA from 2 species
GACUCGUCACACUAUCAUUAACUGAAUCCAUAGGUUAAUGAGGCGAACCGGGGGAACUGAAACAUCUAAGUACCCCGAGGAAAAGAAAUCAACCGAGAUUCCCCCAGUAGCGGCGAGCGAACGGGGAGGAGCCCAGAGCCUGAAUCAGCAUGUGUGUUAGUGGAAGCGUCUGGAAAGGCGCGCGAUACAGGGUGACAGCCCCGUACACAAAAGCGCAUGUGCUGUGAGCUCGAUGAGUAGGGCGGGACACGUGGUAUCCUGUCUGAAUAUGGGGGGACCAUCCUCCAAGGCUAAAUACUCCUGACUGACCGAUAGUGAACCAGUACCGUGAGGGAAAGGCGAAAAGAACCCCGGCGAGGGGAGUGAAAAAGAACCUGAAACCGUGUACGUACAAGCAGUGGGAGCACCCUUUGGGGUGUGACUGCGUACCUUUUGUAUAAUGGGUCAGCGACUUAUAUUCUGUAGCAAGGUUAACCGAAUAGGGGAGCCGGAGGGAAACCGAGUCUUAAUUGGGCGUUAAGUUGCAGGGUAUAGACCCGAAACCCGGUGAUCUAGCCAUGGGCAGGUUGAAGGUUGGGUAACACUAACUGGAGGACCGAACCGACUAAUGUUGAAAAAUUAGCGGAUGACCUGUGGCUGGGGGUGAAAGGCCAAUCAAACCGGGAGAUAGCUGGUUCUCCCCGAAAGCUAUUUAGGUAGCGCCUCGUGAAUUCAUCUCCGGGGGUAGAGCACUGUUUCGGCUAGGGGGCCAUCCCGGCUUACCAACCCGAUGCAAACUGCGAAUACCGGAGAAUGUUAUCACGGGAGACACACGGCGGGUGCUAACGUCCGUCGUGAAGAGGGAAACAACCCAGACCGCCAGCUAAGGUCCCAAAGUCAUGGUUAAGUGGGAAACGAUGUGGGAAGGCCCAGACAGCCAGGAUGUUGGCUUAGAAGCAGCCAUCAUUUAAAGAAAGCGUAAUAGCUCACUGGUCGAGUCGGCCUGCGCGGAAGAUGUAACGGGGCUAAACCAUGCACCGAAGCUGCGGCAGCGACACUCAGGUGUUGUUGGGUAGGGGAGCGUUCUGUAAGCCUGCGAAGGUGGCCUGUGAGGGUUGCUGGAGGUAUCAGAAGUGCGAAUGCUGACAUAAGUAACGAUAAAGCGGGUGAAAAGCCCGCUCGCCGGAAGACCAAGGGUUCCUGUCCAACGUUAAUCGGGGCAGGGUGAGUCGACCCCUAAGGCGAGGCCGAAAGGCGUAGUCGAUGGGAAACGGGUUAAUAUUCCCGUACUUGGUGUUACUGCGAAGGGGGGACGGAGAAGGCUAUGUUGGCCGGGCGACGGUU